rnacentral:lncRNA from 1 species
AUCUGAUUUAUGCGACAAUCAUAAAAAGGUCACAAUUUUGUAUGCCAAAAGAAGAGAGCUUUUCACUGUGAGAUACUAGAGAGAAAGAGGGUUGAAAAUUCUUCUUUGGGAUAUGAGGUUUGGAUGGGUUUUUUUCUUUCUUGGUGUGAACAAAAGAGGAGACCGAUCUCCUCUCGGGUGAGCGACCUAGAACUAUUCUAGGGUUCUUGGAUGAGAGAAAAACAAAAGAGAAGAGAGUCUUCAUCUAUUUUUCUCCAUCAUUCAGCAUCCUCCUCUAAUACAUCUUGAACAUUGAAAAGGUUCGAGAUGAUCGAAGAAGGAGAUCAAGUCAGAUCUACCAUCAGAAGCCGACUGCGCGAGCUAGCACUUCCAUGGAGGGCUGAUCGGUCCGAGGGCUUCGUGUGGACCAUUCGUAGAGGCCGGAUGCUUGUGCAAUUACGAGCGACCAAAGAAAACUUUCAGACCUAUAUUCUCAAUUAUGGAGUUCAACUACCCAUGCUUAGGUAUUGGGUUUGAAAUCCUAAAAAUGGUAGAUUAGAUCUAUUACUAAAUGCUAUUUUUGGUUCACAUGCUUGUCAUUUUAGAUUCAAAUUUUUAUGUAUAUAAAUUUAUAUCAUCGAUCUAUUUAUAGAAGUUUUAAGAUUAAAUUUUAUAUAUAUAUUUAUAGAUUAAAUAGUUUAAUCUAAUAUUUUUUUAUUAAAAAUUUUUUGAAAUGCAUGUAUGAAACCCCUACGCAUCUCAAUAGUGGUAUUAGAGCCAUGAUUUGAUAUGACAUGAUAUUAUAUAUAUUUAGAUCUAUAAUUUAAUUUAGAUUAGAUCUAAUAUAUAAUAUUUAGAUCUAAAAUUAGUUAUAUAUCUGAUCGCACAAACUGAUAUAAAGUUGUCCUGCUGUAAGGUUUAUCCCUUACAGUGCAAAGGUUGUCUUACUUUGUACUGAUCUUUAUAAAAUCUGAUUUUAAUUUGAAGUAUGUAAAAUUUAUUUAUGAUGAUUAUUAUAUGAUUUUAAUAUGAUCAAAAUAUAAUAAUUAGAACUAAAAUAAUUUAGAUUAGAUCUAAAUUAUUUAGAUUAGAUGAUCUGAGUAGCAAAGUAAUCAGACCGAGUUUGUCACCAGGCCAUCCGAUCAUAGGAGGUAAUAGAGAUUAGAUCUCUCUUUUUCUCAUUCAAUUAGGUCUUNNNNNNNNNNNNNNNNNNNNCUCACUGAGCAUCGUUGAAUUUAUAACUAAAUUUGUAUUCUUUGCUGCUCUCAAAAAUACCACAUGGUGAUACGAUCAUUUAGCUACCUCUAAUAAGUACCUUUGAUCACAGCAUGUGUGUUGGAUGUGGAAAUAUUAGGUGCUAGAUCCAUAAUCAUAUAUAAGAUCCAUUCAUGCUCUAGAACUAUUUACAACUUUUGAUACCUAUUAAAAAAUAUGUUCCAAAGUCAAUCGUCAGCCUGUUGAUGAUUAUACUAUUUGAUGUAAUUAUAUAUGAAUUAAAUUAAUAAAAUAUUUAUUUGAUAAUUUUUAUCAUAAGCUUGUAUAUCUUCUAUAUCGAACUUUCAUGUUAUGAUAAAAAUUUUUAGGACUAUUUUAAAUCGAUAAAAGAGGAUUUAUCAUUUAGUCAUUGAAUGAGUUUACGAUCAAAUGAUAUGCUAUUACUACGACGAUAGACAUAUCAAGUGUAGGUUAUUGUGUGCCAUAUAGGUGGAUUGUCUUCUCAACUAAGGAGCAUGGAGAUGCUAGUAUGGCAUGCAGAUGAAAUGUAAGAGUAUAUUUCACUAAAUAUGACCAACUCAAGAGUACUCUACUGUCAAGAGUCACUUUGAAGGGAUAUGGGUAUAAGUGUCUCUCCGACUUGAGAUCACCAUGGCGACUUGCAAGCAACUCACUAUGCUUUGAUGUCGGACUAUUUAAAUUUUUAAUUCAGGAUUGAAAGGUUUCUAGACACAGUCAAGUACUUGUGAAGUCGGUGCAUGAGUCAAAAUGAAAUUGACCACUCCAAGAGAUUGGAGAGAAUGCUUUGUGUUUCAAUUUAGUAAGACCUUGGCUAGGGCAAUCCUUGUGAGGAGUCAUAGGAUUUAUCAGGUUAAGACAUAUAAUGGAUGUACCAUUAAGAGUUGACAGUUUAAACUCUAAGUCAUCCUAGCAUCAAAGGUCAAAGGAAUGAAUUAUAUGGUAACUAUAUCCAAAUAGGUUCUUGAGUGUUGCUUGGCAUACAUUCGGCCUAUCCGAACGUCAGAUACCAUUGCUAAAUAAUUACUCUGAUUGGUACAGAAAUCAAGUUCUAUACUAUCGGCUUAGGUUCAAACCUAUGGGGUCACAUACAUUAGAAGUUUUUCUCCGAUCACAUGGCUAAUUUGAAGAGUCUCAGUGGAUAGGGACUCUAUUGAAGAGUCCCACUGGAUGGAGACUCUAGAGAAGAGUCUCACUAGACUUGGACUCUAUCAUUAAUAGAGGAUUAAUUAGUUAGUAUAUCAUUAAUUAGCUUAAUUUAAUUGAUCAUUAAAAUCUGGAUCAAGUAUGAUUGAAUUGAAUUCAAUCAGGUCAGGUUUGAUUAGGUUAUGAGAUAACCUAAUCGGUAAGGGAGAAAUGAUCCCGAUUUGAUCGGAUCUAUGGCUUAAUUAAUUUUUUAAUUUGAUUAAAUUUAAUUAAGAUUAUAAGAGCUUAAUUAUAUUAGGUUCACUAUAUUUUAUUUAAGUCUAAUUAGAUUGGGUUUGAAAGAAAUUUAAUUGGUUAAAUCCUAAAGUCCCAAAUGAAUAGGACUCUAUCCCUUGCACCACCUAAAUUAUCUCACACCUUUUCUCACCGCAUAAAAUUAGUUUGUAUGUGAAAAAAUUAUAAAAUAACUCUUUUUUUGUCAUCCAUUAAGGAUAAGAAUUUAUUGAUUUUGAUUUAAAUUCAAAUUAGUUUGAAUUUCAACUUAAAACCUUAUCUAUAUCCUUCCACACAUUGAUAGUUUCUGAAGGUACCCAUUGUGUAUGAGAAAAAGAAGUCUUUCUAAUUAAUUUUUAUAUCUAAUUUUCUUUUAUAAGUCUCUCUUUAAAUUAGAUAAAGAUGAGAAAAAGUUAGAGUUAAAUUAAAAUUUAAAAUGAUUUGAAUUACAACAAACUCUAGCCCUUAUCCUAUCUUAUCUGAUUUAUGCGACAAUCAUAAAAAGGUCAUAAUUUUGUAUGCCAAAAGAAGAGAGCUUUUCACUGUGAGAUACUAGAGAGAAAGAGGGUUGAAAAUUCUUCUUUGGGAUAUGAGGUUUGGAUGGGUUUUCUUCUUUCUUGGUGUGACCAAAAGAGGAGACCGAUCUCCUCUCGGGUGAGCGACCUAGAACUAUUCUAGGGUUCUUGGAUGAGAGAAAAACAAAAGAGAAGAGAGUCUUCAUCUAUUUUUCUCCAUCAUUCAGCAUCCUCCUCUAAUCCAUCUUUAACAUUGAAAAGGUUUGAGAUGAUCGAAGAAGGAGAUCAAGUCAGAUCUACCAUCAGAAGCCGACUGCGCGAGCUAGCACUUCCAUGGAGGGCUGAUCGGUCCGAGGGCUUCG